GACGAACGCUGGCGGCGUGCUUAACACAUGCAAGUCGAACGGAAAGGCCCUGCUUUUGUGGGGUGCUCGAGUGGCGAACGGGUGAGUAACACGUGAGUAACCUGCCCUUGACUUUGGGAUAACUUCAGGAAACUGGGCCUAAUACCGGAUAGCAGCUCCUGCUCCAUGGUGGGGGUUGGAACGUUUCGGCGGUUGGGGAUGGACUCGCGGCUUAUCAGCUUGUUGGUGGGGUAGUGGCUUACCAAGGCUUUGACGGGUAGCCGGCCUGAGAGGGUGACCGGCCACAUUGGGACUGAGAUACGGCCCAGACUCCUACGGGAGGCAGCAGGGGGGAAUAUUGCACAAUGGGCGGAAGCCUGAUGCAGCAACGCUGCGUGCGGGAUGACGGCCUUCGGGUUGUAAACCGCUUUCGCCUGUGACGAAGCGUGAGUGACGGUAAUGGGUAAAGAAGCACCGGCUAACUACGUG
rnacentral:rRNA from 1 species